UUGAAAAAGCAGUGCUAUCUGUUCCUUGUUUCUCAUCCAGAAAUUACACAGAUUAUCUCCACUGCGCUCCUGCUUGUCAGAUGAUAUGGCAAAAGAACUGGAAGAGAUCCACCAACCACUACAAAGGUGAACAAGAAAACCCAUCGGCAAAACUUUCAUCAAGUAUAUAAAUCAUUAUAUACUGACCUGAAAAGUGCAGCCAUAACGCUUAAAACUACAGGCUUUUUUUUAGCCCUUGGACAUUUCUAGUUUUGGAGGUGGCUUGGAAAAGAAAUGUCGGAAUAAAAUCAUUAAAAAGAACUGGAGAAGUGUUGACAAUGAAUGGUUAACCUGUCACCUGCACUGACUUUUGCUCAGACAGACCAAAAAAAAAAAUGUCCACCUCUGAAGAUGUGUGUGCUGUUAUAUGAAUAGAUAUCCUGUAGGGGCUGAUGAUAUUUGAGCAAUUUUGGCAAGGCUUAUCUGGAGUGCUUGAAUGAUUUGAAUGCAAGCAUGAAAAAUAUAGAGAAAUUUGUAUGAUGAAUACAUGGACAUUUCUGCUUCUAAACCCUGACAUUCUAUCAUAAUUACGUCUACUGUUACUAUUACUUUCAACUGCAGAAGAGUUGCUGUGCUGGUAGCUGCUCACCUCUAUACUCAACUAUUCAUCUUAAUUCUCUGUUUCCAUCCCUCUUAUGCAAUAAAGAACUUUUGCAAUUUUCCUUAAGAUAAAGACUGUUUCAGCUCCUAGGAUUGCAAUGUAAGCACCGCAAGGACGCAAAGAGUUCUGAUAGAUGAUGACUCACUACCAUGAGGAAAUGAAAUAAAUAUACGCAGAGCAGAACCUGUCAUCUCAUUAAGUGUUGUUUGUCAUAUGCAAGGAUCAGGGAUGCAACAGAAUUCCCAAGAUUUAUCACGUCCAGUAGUUACUAUCCCUUCAUGCUAAAACAUGUGGAGACAACUAGUUUUGCAAAAACAGGUACAAAUCAUGGACUUAAAAAUCUAGGAAGUUCAAGAACCUGGAAGCUGAGCUGGCUCAGGUGGUCUUCUGCUAUGGGAUCCUACUUAUUAACAUUUGUUUUUAAAUCCAAGAUCUCAAGGAGGACCACUGAGAAUUGGCUUGGAUUUUCAUCCAUUAACUGAGGAAGAGCUAGAAACUGACUUAGAAAUAAUGAAAUAUAUGAUAGACAAAUAUGUUACCUAGAAAUCCCAGUUACAUGGUCCAUUUUUAUUAAGAUAGUUACUUUAUGGUGACGAGGAACUUCCAAAAAGUUAUUUCAUGCCUGUAACUAUCUAAACCACAUCCAAUCGCCUCAGUUUAUACUAUUUUCAUCAGUGAGAAUGAAUUUAGCUUAUAUCUUCUCCUUAAAGCCAAUUGUGAAACUAUGUCCAAGGUAGAUGAGAAAAAAAUAUCAGCUGGCAAACAUGGAAGUACUUGUGUUAAAUACUUUUAUUUCAUAGUUAUUAUUAAUAACCUCUUCAAUGUGCAAAUAGUUUGCAUGUAAACAAUGGAAAAAACAAAUCUAGUCCAGGAAAUGGGUUGAGAAAAAGUACAAAAUUGGAAAACUUCUUAUUGAAUUCAAGUCCAACGCACAGCUGUCUGACAUGCAGAUACUAAACUACUCAGAAAAAUGUAUUUUGCUAAAGAUUUUUAGCUAAACAGCCAAAGCACAAAAACCCCAGUGCAUGGAAUGAAGGCAGCUCCUUAUUGACUCAUAAAUUAAAAUGCAUAUGUUCCUUUCCUAUUUCAUCUUUGCAGAUGGGCAGAAGGGAAGAGUUACCACUGAUUUCAGUUUAUAAACUGUCCAAUGGUCAUUCAUUGCACUGCAAUCUUCCUUGAUGGCUAUAAAAUCAAGGCAGUGUGCAAGCAGUUUGAGGAACCUACCUUUAUUGUAAACUGCUUUUACAGAAACAAUCAAAGGAGUUUACCUAUAGGCAUUGCAUAUUAAGUUGGAACAGAAGUUAUUGGGGUAGGGUAGAACCUCUAUAGCCUACUCUCUAUUUUUUCAAAACUAUUUUUACUUUUACAGAGAAGCAUUCAUUACCACAGGAUAAAUUACAAAUGAAAAAGCAGUAAUUUAUUACUACUUACUUCAAACAAGCUUUUUGCUGUAUUUUUAGAUUUUAGACACCUCAGUUUGAAGCAAACACUUGCCUAUAACUCUGCUUUGCUCCAAAGCAUGAACUCCACUACCUGGUAUUGGUACUAUAAAACAGGGGUAACUGUGACAAUACUUAUUCUACAAACUUGUAUAUGGAAGUUUAGUAUGAGCUGUGCACUCAUUUGAACCUACUGCUCAAAGCAAAAAAGGCUUGUGCCUUCUUAAAGACUUGAUAUGGCCAUCAAGGGCCUCACCUCCUUGUCUCAUCAGGCAAUGCAUGUACAUGUAGAGAGGAUAUUCUCAUCAGGAUUGCCACAAACAGCCCCUUCAAAUGGUUCACACAGUCCCAAAAUUUAUCUAAUGCUAUAAAUGUGAGACACACUCUGCGUUUCAAUAUCUCACCUCAGCCACAGAAUGGUGUUUUGGGAUGUGACUUAAUGCUUUAUAUGCUCCAGGCCACAAUAUUAUAUGAGACACAAUUAACAAAACCACAUCUUAAUAAUGUGAGUGAUUUUAAUAUGAUUUCAUUCAGUCAUAGUGAAAUAUGGAAGUUGCAAAGUAGACGAUGAUCAGCGUGAGUGAACUUUUAAAGGCAGCCCAAUGGUAUUAGCCUUCCCUGUCCAUGUUGACAGGGAAUAAUGGGAGUUAUAGACUUACAUGGCUAAAGGGUGUCAGGUUGAUGAAUGCUGAACAGUAGCAGUAUGUCUUGAACCAUCACAAAACUUUCACUACCAACACUACUUACUACAAUUUUUACACAUAGAUUUGCUCUUCUGCCCCCAAGUGAUGAAAUACUGAGACUUAUUUAAAUAUAUCUUAUGGCAUGAGAAGCAUUUUACAGGAAUUUCAGUAUACCAGAAUUUGAGGCGGAUAGACAUAGCUGUUUACAGUAUGGCAAAACUAUAAGGAGCAUAUACCAACUUGGUAAGCAUGUACAAGUGGUGAAAAGAAUUUACCCCACCAUCAGUUGCAAUAAUGGGAAAAAGGGAUCAGUUUGCCACCAAUUCAGUGUUGAACAGCCAACUCCAAAUAUACAACCUAGCAGCACAACACCGUUUACUAUUUACAGGAAUUUUCAUCAGAGCUAUGCUGCCAACCAACGCUCAAGUCAAAUUCAGUACAUAAAACCAAAUAUUAAACACAAU